rnacentral:rRNA from 1 species
CCCGCUGAACUUAAGCAUAUUAAUAAGGGGAGGAAAAGAAACUAACUAGGAUUCCCUCAGUAAUGGCGAAUGAAGUGGGAAGAGCUCAGGUUUAAAAUCUGACAGCAACAGCUGUCCGAAUUGUAGUCUUUUGGAUGGUCAUAGGGGUAGGCAUUGGCUCAAGUCCGUUGGAAUGCGGCGCCUUAGAGGGUGAGAGCCCCGUAGUCAGCCAAAUGAACUUGCCCCGUAAAUUGAUCGUUCGUAGAGUCGGGUUGUUUGGGAAUGCAGCCUUAACUGCGAGGUAAAUUCCUUGCAAAGCUAAAUACUGGCAUGAGACCGAUAGCGAACAAGUAGAGUGAUCGAAAGAUGAAAAGAACUUUGAAAAGAGGGUUAAAAGUACGUGAAAUCGCUAAAAGGGAAGCGAUUAGGUUCAGUAUGGGUGUAUCUCCGAAUCGUAUAUCGUGUGGGUAUAAGGGGUUACGUUUGUAAGGGCUGGUUAACACCGGUUCCAGCGUGAUUCAUGAAGCCUUCGUCGGUGUACUACUUUUGGGAUGCACUAGUCAGCAUCGGUUCGUUUGAGUUGGUGACAGAAAAGUUGGGGGAUGGAAGGCCGCCUGCGGGUGGUUGAAUACCCUGAUCAAUGGUCACCUGACGGACUGAGGUGGUCGAUAAAAGUCGACCAGCAAAGGGGGUGCCUCAAGGCAGGGCUCUGACGUUCGCAGUGAUUGACAGGGUGUAGCACUAGUGCAGUGCUGCGCCCUGGCGGUUACUCCCGGGUGUCAAUCCGCUUACCUCCUCUUGAUGCUGACAAAAUGGGCUUAAUCGACCCGUCUUGAAACACGG